AGCGCCUGCCUGGAUCAAGGCCUGGCUAACAGCCAGGAAGGGUGGAGGGGAGCCUCCAGCAAAGGAGCUCAGUUUUAGUCUGAUCUGCUUCACUGCUGAACUUACAUGUAACCAAGUGGUGUUUAAGCAACAUUGCCAAGCCUGGAGAAUUUAACGAGCAAAAUGAAAAGAGUCAAACGGAAAAGAAAAGAACACACAAUUUUUCUUUUAAAAGAUUCCACCGCGCUAACUUUCAGCAAGUUUCCGGGAGGCCUGCCAGCCAAAGCGCAGGAGAGAUCUUGAGGCCGGCAGCAGGGUAGCACCAGCAACAACCACAUCAUGAGAAUUGGUUUCAUAUACAAGUCAUAAACACUAAAGAAACAAACUGUGUGUAAGGUUUGAAGACUGGACCAAUUAAAUCAUCAUCAACAUCAUCACAGUUCAUUUGCAGUUGAACACUUAAACUUGUUGCUGGGCACCUAAAAACAGACUGAAAUUAAAAGACUGAAAAUUAAACAGCCUUCAUUGUUACAACAGUAUAGAAAUCUCUGGGGUAGCCACAUCGAAAAUACUAUGUGCAGUUCUGGGAGCCUCAUCUCAAAAAGGAGAUCACAGAGCCAGGAAAGGAAAACUGAAAUAAUCAAGGAGAACAGCCAGGAGAGUCCGUCUCAUGUGCAAGACCCGGACACUUUGUAUCCUCAACAGGAUCCCUAUGAGAAAGAGGUUCAAGCAUCUUUCUGCAAGUCAGCGAGCUCCAGAUGUUGGACUAUGACCCCCAUCAUCUCUGACCGUUGGCCAUGCAGGCUGUGGUGAACAGGAGUUGAAGUCCAGUCCCUGACCUGGAAGUAUUAUAAAUGUUUCCAGGGACAGCCUGGGCUCAGGUCACGGCAGACUCCACUGUGCCUGCUUGACUGUGAUAUCUAGUUCCUCCUUCACCGUGCAAUAAUAAUUUGGCAAGGCACACUUCAGUCCCCAACACCCAAGUAUGGAAGCUUUGGUCUGGAUGCACUCGUGGAUAGCAUCCGAUGCAA